rnacentral:rRNA from 1 species
UAAGGAAUAUUGGUCAAUGGACGCAAGUCUGAACCAGCCAUGCCGCGUGAAGGAUGAAGGUCCUCUGGAUUGUAAACUUCUUUUAUCUGGGACGAAAACGGGAUUUUUAUCUCAAUUGACGGUACCAGAGGAAUAAGCACCGGCUAACUCCGUGCCAGCAGCCGCGGUAAUACGGAGGGUGCAAGCGUUAUCCGGAUUCACUGGGUUUAAAGGGUGCGUAGGUGGGCAGGUAAGUCAGUGGUGAAAUCUCCGGGCUUAACCCGGAAACUGCCGUUGAUACUAUUUGUCUUGAAUAUUGUGGAGGUAAGCGGAAUAUGUCAUGUAGCGGUGAAAUGCUUAGAUAUGACAUAGAACACCAAUUGCGAAGGCAGCUUACUACACAAUCAUUGACGCUGAGGCACGAAAGCGUGGGGA